AGUGAACGCUGGCGGUAGGCCUAACACAUGCAAGUCGAACGGCAGCACAGUAAGAGCUUGCUCUUACGGGUGGCGAGUGGCGGACGGGUGAGGAAUACAUCGGAAUCUACUUUUUCGUGGGGGAUAACGUAGGGAAACUUACGCUAAUACCGCAUACGACCUACGGGUGAAAGCAGGGGAUCUUCGGACCUUGCGCGAUUGAAUGAGCCGAUGUCGGAUUAGCUAGUUGGCGGGGUAAAGGCCCACCAAGGCGACGAUCCGUAGCUGGUCUGAGAGGAUGAUCAGCCACACUGGAACUGAGACACGGUCCAGACUCCUACGGGAGGCAGCAGUGGGGAAUAUUGGACGAUGGGCGCAAGCCUGAUCCAGCCAUACCGCGUGGGUGAAGAAGGCCUUCGGGUUGUAAAGCCCUUUUGUUGGGAAAGAAAAGCAGCAGGUUAAUACCCCGCUGUUCGGACGGUACCCAAAGAAUAAGCACCGGCUAACUUCGU
rnacentral:rRNA from 1 species